rnacentral:rRNA from 1 species
CUACGGGGUGCAGCAGUGAGGAAUAUUGCACAAUGGAGGAAACUCUGAUGCAGCAACGCCGCGUGGAGGAUAACGCAUUUCGGUGUGUAAACUCCUUUUAUAUGUCAAGAAAAUGACGGUAGCAUAUGAAUAAGCACCGGCUAACUCCGUGCCAGCAGCCGCGGUAAUACGGAGGGUGCAAGCGUUACUCGGAAUCACUGGGCGUAAAGGACGCGUAGGCGGGAUAUCAAGUCAGGUGUGAAAUCCUACAGCUUAACUGUAGAACUGCACUUGAAACUGGUAACCUAGAGUAUGGGAGGGGGAGAUGGAGUUAGUGGUGUAGGGGUAAAAUCCGUAGAUAUCACUAGGAAUACCUAAAGCGAAGGCGAUCUCCUGGAACAUAACUGACGCUAAGGCGUGAAAGCGUGGGGAGCAAACAGGAUUAGAUACCCUAGUAGUC